rnacentral:rRNA from 1 species
GCAAGUUGACGGCAGCAUGGUUUAGUUUACUAGACUGAUGGCGAGUAGCGGACGGGUGAGUAACGCGUAGGAAUAUGUCCUAAAGUUUGGAAUAACUUGGGGAAACCCAAGCUAAUACCGGAUAUUAUCUAAGGAUGAAAGCUGGGGACCUUAUGGCCUGGCGCUUUAGGAUUAGCCUGCGACCGAUUAGCUAGUUGGUGGGGUAAAGGCCUACCAAGGCGACGAUUGGUAGCUGUUCUGAGAGGAAGAUCAGCCACACUGGGACUGAGACACGGCCCAGACUCCUACGGGAGGCAGCAGUGGGGAAUAUUGGACAAUGGGGGGAACCCUGAUCCAGCAAUGCCGCGUGUGUGAAGAAGGCCUGAGGGUUGUAAAGCACUUUAGUUGGGGAGGAGGACUUAUUGGUUAAGAGCUGAUGAGUUGGACGUUACCCAAAGAAUAAGCACCGGCUAACUCCGUGCCAGCAGCCGCGGUAAUACGGAGGGUGCGAGCGUUAAUCGGAAUGACUGGGCGUAAAGGGUGCGUAGGUGGUUAAUUAAGUUAUCUGUGAAAUACCCGGGCUUAACCUGGGGGAGUCAGCUAAGACUGGUUAACUUGAGUAUGGUAGAGGGUAGUGGAAUUUCCGGUGUAGCGGUGAAAUGCGUAGAUAUCGGAAGGAACCUCGGUGGCGAAGGCGACUACCUGGACUGAUACUGACACUGAGGCACGAAAGCGUGGGUAGCGAACAGGAUUAGAUACCCUGGUAGUCCACGCUGUAAACGAUGUCAACUAGCCGUUU